rnacentral:rRNA from 1 species
CAGUAGCCGCGGUAAUACGUAGGUGGCAAGCGUUGUCCGGAAUUAUUGGGCGUAAAGGGCUCGCAGGCGGUUUCUUAAGUCUGAUGUGAAAGCCCCCGGCUCAACCGGGGAGGGUCAUUGGAAACUGGGAAACUUGAGUGCAGAAGAGGAGAGUGGAAUUCCACGUGUAGCGGUGAAAUGCGUAGAGAUGUGGAGGAACACCAGUGGCGAAGGCGACUCUCUGGUCUGUAACUGACGCUGAGGAGCGAAAGCGUGGGGAGCGAACAGGAUUAGAUACCCGGUAGUCCCUGUCUCUUAUACA